GGGAGGAUGGCCGAGUGGUUUAAGGCGGCAGAUUUAAGCUCUGCUUUCCGUAAGGAAGCGUGGGUUCGAACCCCACUCCUCUCA
rnacentral:tRNA from 1 species